GGAUCUGGGGCCGCCAACGAGACAAGAAAAGAGGGAGACAGACCCAUGACACGGUCCUCCUGCUGGUUUCGUGUUGGCAGGGAAGGGCUCUGACGUUCCUCUCAUUGGUGGCCCCUCACACCAAACCCACUCUGACUUUAGGUGCGUCUGCCUGCCUGGGUAGGGGGGCCACGGGAGCCAAGCAGGAGUGUAACAGAACUUCCUCCAGUCGGGUCUGAAGAAACCCCGUGACACCAGGAGGCGUUUGCAAGGGCGCCGGGACUAACAAAAGCCCGCAGCCUUUUUGAGAUGUCUCGCCUGGCGCGGGGGCUCAGCACCUGGCACGCACACCCACCCCGGCCCCGACACCCCACCCAACGUCAAGACCCCGUACGCCCACUCAAAGCACCCCCGCCCCCGCCAGGGAGACCUACAACCCAGGCAAUCGCCACGAGGAGAGCGUGGACAGAGGAACAGGGUGCUAGGGGUCCUAAAACGCGGGCGCUGUCAGGGCCCCAGGCCGGGACGCGGUGGUGCUGGGACGGACAGAAGUAGGUUGGAGUAAAUAGCUGCUACCUGAGAGACCGGUGAUGUCCAUUUUCGGCAGGUGUCGGGCUUUGAGGACCACCACUGUCAUUCUCUGUGCCACGGGCUGGUAUGACAGAGACACCUGGAGCUCCCCUCUGCUAAUGCACUUCUGUGGAGAAGGAACAGCAGUCUCUAUGCCCAAGGUGGGGCUUGAACUCACAACCCCGAGAUCAAGAGUUGCAUGUUCCACGGACAGAGCCAGCCGGGCGCCCAGGAUCUGGUUCUUGCUCCCAGGGAGCUUACCAUGUCCAGAGAGACAGGCAUAAACAAACACGCCCUCCUCAGGGCCGUCAGGACCUGUCCCACUGCUGCUGGGGGACCCCCGGGAGGGGGGUUUGCCACACAACCUCCGGGCUGAGUUUAUGACAGUGAGUCCGUGGGAAGACUGGUCAGGACGAACGGCAGGAAAGGCCGCUAUGAAGGCACUGGGUCCUGAGAGGGUCCCCUGUGUUCCCAGAGUUGGGGGGAGGUGCCGGGAGGAGGGAACCUGGGGGGUGGGUCAGGCGAGGGCCUUGGAACCAAACAGCAGACUCAGCCGCAGCACACAGGCCAAGGGCAGCCACCAGCACAGGGGCGACAGGCGUUGCCGCCGUCGACGAUUUAUGAAGGCCGCUACUGUUCUAGUGGAGGCCGGACAACUGAUGGACGGACAGACGGACGGACAGACAGAGCAGAGGCGGCCCUGAGGCUGAGGAGGGGACACUGAGGCCGGGACCCGGGGAUGGGUGUGGGGCAAGAAGUGACAGGAAGAACUGACGAAAGUGGAAGUGGGAGGGGAGAGUGGAGGGCAAUUUCUUGUUUCUUAGCUCAUUUUUAAAAUUAUGAUCAAAAAACAUUUUUUUUCUCGUUAAAAAUCUUUAAAAAUUUUAA